rnacentral:rRNA from 1 species
GACGAACGCUGGCGGCGUGCCUAAUACAUGCCAGUAGAACGCACAGUUUAUACCGUAGCUUGCUACACCAUAGACUGUGAGUUGCGAACGGGUGAGUAACGCGUAGGUAACCUGCCUGGUAGCGGGGGAUAACUAUUGGAAACGAUAGCUAAUACCGCAUAAUAUUGAUUAUUGCAUGAUAAUUGAUUGAAAGAUGCUAUUGCAUCACUACCAGAUGGACCUGCGUUGUAUUAGCUAGUAGGUGAGGUAACGGCUCACCUAGGCGACGAUACAUAGCCGACCUGAGAGGGUGAUCGGCCACACUGGGACUGAGACGCGGCCCAGACUCCUACGGGAGGCAGCAGUAGGGAAUCUUCGGCAAUGGACGAAAGUCUGACCGAGCAACGCCGCGUGAGUGAAGAAGGUUUUCGGAUCGUAAAGCUCUGUUGUAAGAGAAGAACGGGUGUGAGAGUGGAAAGUUCACACUGUGACGGUAUCUUACCAGAAAGGGACGGCUAACUACGUG